ACGAUCAUUGAUGCCUCACCAAUUAGGUAGGAGUCCAAGGUGGAUCGAGAGAGGAUCACUAUAUAUGAGAAGGAUCUUGCUUCCAUUCAUUGACGGCGAAGGCCUUGGAGAAAACAACAGAUAACCCAAAGUCUGUGGUGACGGUGAAGGCAACCAUGCAAUAGACCAUAAGAAAGAAGCCAUCAAACAAUUCUACCAA
rnacentral:lncRNA from 1 species